AGAGUUUGAUCCUGGCUCAGAACGAACGCUGGCGGCAGGCUUAACACAUGCAAGUCGAACGGUCUCUUCGGAGGCAGUGGCAGACGGGUGAGUAAUGCAUGGGAAUCUACCGUUCUCUACGGAAUAACUCAGGGAGACUUGUGCUAAUACCGUAUACGCCCUUUUGGGGAAAGAUUUAUCGGAGAAUGAUGAGCCCAUGUUGGAUUAGCUAGUUGGUAGGGUAAAGGCCUACCAAGGCGACGAUCCAUAGCUGGUCUGAGAGGAUGAUCAGCCACACUGGGACUGAGACACGGCCCAGACUCCUACGGGAGGCAGCAGUGGGGAAUAUUGGACAAUGGGCGCAAGCCUGAUCCAGCCAUGCCGCGA
rnacentral:rRNA from 1 species